rnacentral:rRNA from 1 species
CCCUUAGAUGCUCUGGGCCGCACGCGUGCUACACUGAGUGGAUCAGCGGGUCAGGUUGCGCGAAAGUGUUUCCUAAUCUUUAAAUCCGCUCGUGAUGGGGAUUGACGGUUGCAGUUUUCCGUCAUGAACGAGGAAUACCUUGUAAGCGCGGGUCAUCAUCCCGCGCUGAAUACGUCCCUGCCCUUUGUACACACCGCCCGUCGCUCCUACCGAUUGAGUGGUCCGGUGAGGCUUUGGGAUCUGAGCGGAAAGAGCGUUUCGCUGUUUCUGCCCGGAAAACUCAGUCGAACCUUAUCAUUUAGAGGAAGGAGAAGUCGUAACA